GAGAUAAGUGCUGAAAGCAUCUAAGCACGAAACUUGCCCCGAGAUGAGUUCUCCCUGACUCCUUGAGAGUCCUGAAGGAACGUUGAAGACGACGACGUUGAUAGGCCGGGUGUGUAAGCGCAGCGAUGCGUUGAGCUAACCGGUACUAAUGAACCGUGAGGCUUAACCUUACAACGCCGAAGGUGUUU
rnacentral:rRNA from 1 species